ACUUCACUCUUGCAUUUCCUGAAUGCAAGAGGAGAUAAUUUGGGGAUGACGGGUUGGUUAAAGAGAAUUGCGAGGUGUUGUAGUAGUGCCAGACGGAGCGAAUUGAGAGUGAGAUGCGCUGUACUUCGGGAUUGAAGUGUUUUGAAUUAGCGUUGUUAUCUAUAGAGUAAGAUUAUGGAAAGACUGCCAUUCAGAAGGAGCGAGGCAGCACUCAAGCUCAACAUGCUCAAGCUUCUCAGCGUUAAGUAGAAGCAAAAAAGAAGAUACUGCAAUAGCAAUGGCUGCCCUGUCAAAGUCCCGGUGAAUUGUAAGUGUUCUAGCUUCAUGGUGUUUGCUUUUCUUUCUUCUAGUUCUCCUCUAUCAUUAUCAUCAAAAUCAAUUGUGUAAUUUUAAUUCCUAUGCCAUUUGUUAUUCUUUAAGGAUUUAGCUUCUGUUAGGAACUUUGACGUGGCUUCUGCUUUGUUCUGACUAGGGUUUAACAAGGACAGCUUAGCAUUGCAGAUAUCAGUGAGUUGCUUUUGGCUAAGUCUGACGCUGUGCACUUAAGGAUCUUUUCUGCUUUGAAACCACCACCUGAUGGAGACUGUCACCUGAUGCAGCAAUCAGGGUACCAUCAACAGCUUAUGUUGCUUCAAAAAGUUCUCAUAGAGCUCAUUCAUCCAUGCCAUGUACCACUUGCUUCACUCAUACAAGUUCAUUUCCUACUGUAAACAGAAUGCAGGGUUUUAGUGUAUCUUCAUGUAAAUAUUGACAGAUUGAUUAUUUUUUUAUAAUUAAUUUUAAAAAAAAACUAGAAACAAUGUACCAGUAGCAGAACAAUAAGUUUGCAAGAAUCCACAAUCUUGUUAAAAGACAACAUUAUUACUAUCAUCUUUGUCACCA